rnacentral:rRNA from 1 species
AUGAAGGUGAACGUUGAUGCUGCUGUGGCGGCACAGUUAGGUCUGGGCUCAGUGGUCGCUAUCUGUAGAAACAGGGAAGGGCUCUACCUAGGUGCUUCAUCAGUGGUAUUCAGAGGCAUAACUGAUCCCACAACUCUGGAGGCUCUUUCAGUGAGGGAGGCUAUGGCACUUGCGGAGCACCUAAAUUUACAAUCCAUACAUGUGGCUUCAGAUUGCUUGGUGGUGAUAAAUGAUCUCAAAAGGAAGAGCAGGGCUGGUUACGGUGCUAUCAUACAUGAAAUCUUAGAGUACUCUACUAGUUUUACUUCGUAUAAUUUUGUUGAUGAAUUCAGGAGCUCGAAUGUCGAAGCUCAGAAUCUAGCAAAGCAUGCACUUAAACUGGGGCUUGGUCUCCAUGUUUGGUUGGGUCACCCCGGGGAUCUUCAUUUCGUCCAUGUAAACUGUGUGACGGAUCAAUAA